ACCAUUAAAAUAUCACUAAUGACUACUUAAUUAUUACAAAUCCAAAAAUCUGACCAGCACUCCUCAUUUAUUAACCCAAUUUCGAAUUAUGCAUAUAACCAUCUAUUAAUUCAUUACAAAAUCUUUUUUUGUUCGGACCAGGCCAGAUAAGGACCGGACCAUGGCACAACCCGCUUUGGAACCGACCCGACAUACCACAAUCGAAGGAAACCAUACACUCUGGACUAGGUAUUCGAUGUCGCUGCCUCUUCACCGCCGGUUGCUGUGGCUUGUCCCUGGCGUAGCAGACGCAGAUCCUUAAAUAGAAN
rnacentral:lncRNA from 1 species